UUUUAGAGAGUUGUAUAUAAACCAGAUGCGAACGAUUCUCAUAAUCUGGGUACAGCUUUUUACAGUGAUGUUGCGAAAGAUUUACUUACUCAUACAGUGCCUGUUUCUGGUCGAUUUGAAGUUAGUUUCAGCCAGCGGUCGGUGUGAGUCAUAUCCAUGCCUGAACGAUGGCGUGUGUACAGAUACUUCUAAUGGGUAUGAGUGCGCUUGUCAUAGAGGAUACUCGGGAGAACACUGUGAAGAUGGUGGCAUAAUAGAAGUGUCCGAAUAUGGUACUACGGAGGAUGCUGAGUUUGAGGCUAACCAUGCAAAGCUAUACAAACAUUGUUGGCGACCACUCAACAACUUCAAGUUUUCAGUGAAGGCAGAAAAAGAUGCCGAAAUACUGCUUCAGACUUCAUCUGACGACUUUACAUCGUCCGAAGCUAAUUAUGUUAUUAUCAUCGAUGGAUGGGGAGGGACGCGUACUGUCAUCGUUCAGAACAGUUAGACUAGAUAUUUCAGGACUGCUAAGUGCGUAUGAAUACAGGGACUUCUGGGUAUCUUGGAAUGACACAACUAUUUCCGUUGGAAAAGGUGAUACCAUUGGUUCUGAAGUUUUCAUCACAUACACUGAUGAGUCUAGGUUAAUGGAAAUCAAAGGUGUAAGUUUCGGAUCGGUAUGGUAUACUGCUGCUGACUGGAAGUUUCCCAAAGGCUUAAAUGAAUGUGACGUAGAUCCUUGUGACAACUGUAAAGUGUGCGUUGAUGGUAUAUACAACUAUACAUGCAUAAAGUAAACCAGAGAAUGAUUCAAACGGAUGAAGACCUUAACUGAUGACUGACUUCUAUUGCUUUUUAUCUCUAUUUCUAUCUUUAUUUUAAUAAGUGUUGUUUUACAUGAAAAUUGCACAGCCUAUAAAAUAAAUACAUUAUUCUAAAAACCGAUUGUCAAUUUACUGAUGGAUGCUUGAAUUCCCAAAAAAGGGACCACCGAGUGCUGAAAUUUCGAAUAACUAGAUUAAACAGUGUUUUUAGAAAUUUUGAAAAUUAUUUAGCUCUAUUUUUAUUUCUUUACAGAUGGAAUUCUGUUUUAAAGGGGGAUAACUUCUAGAGAAUAUUUGAUGUCAGUACGGGACAAUGCGUAUAAACAUUUAUUGGACCGAGAAUUUUUGAGAAGAUGUUGCUCGUUUCCCAACAAUUGUGAGGUGUUCAAUUUACGGUUCAUAAUAUCUUUUUUAAGGAAUAAUUAUGUCUGUUACAUGAAAGUCAAUAUGUUCACUUCUUGAUAUUAAACUGUGAAAUAUUGCAUAUUACGGACGAAUAGAAAAAUGAGUCCUAAAAUUGAAAAAUAUGUAAGUUUUUCGUUGAUUUACUUAUUUUUCUAUUUGUCUGCCAUACAUACGUAUUUUUGACAAAUUGCCAUUUGCAAUUAAAUCUAAGGGAAACAACUAUCAUAAGCACGUACAUAAAGAAAUUCAUAAAACGGAAGUGAUUAAUCCAUAAAAAGAUAGUUAUAAACCGAAAAAUUCAGUUCUUACAAUUGUUUGCAAACAACAUCUUCACCGACAUUCUAGUUAUCCAGUACAUGCUUUCCCGUUGUGUCUCGUACUGUCUCGUAUUUAGAAUAUUUUCAAAAAGUUUCCCCCCUUUGAAAAACAAUUCCAUUUGUAAAGAAAUGAAAACAUUUUUUUUUUCAAAAUUCAUGAAAACGAUUUUAACCUAAUUGUUCAAAUUUCAGCAUCCGGGCAUUGCUGCAAAAGAUCAAAUCGAACAUGACUGUGCAACAAUUUUCUGCAAAUGGUAAGAUUUUAAAGGGACGCUAAACUGUCCAGACGUGUGGCUCCUUAAUGUGGUCACUUUUUGGAAAUUCAAGCAUCCAUCAGUUCAUUGACAAUCGGGUUUUAGAAUAUUAUACCUAUUCUGUAAGCUGUUCAAUUUUCAUGUAAAACAACUCUUUCUUUCUAUGAUUUGAUGAUGUCAAAGAUCCAUCGAAUCUUCAAACAACUUCUCAUGAACUGCCUGAUGUUUUUUUCUUUUUACUUUGCAUAAACCUCCCUCAGCUUUGAACACCGAGAAGUAAAAUUGUAUUCCUAUCAUAGUUUAAGUGCUGUGCAACGUCAGGACGUAAAUUCAAUACAUCAGUUAUGUUGGCGCCUGCAGUUUCUCUUGUUUGCUAAGGCGUGGCAACACUAUACUUGAUAACGUUUGGAAUAAUAUGUAUUUUCUUGUUAGUAUGAAAGUCCAACAUACUCAUACGACAUAAAAAUUGCAAGAAAUGAUUGAAGCUUCAUGUUCACUUGAAAAAUAUUGCAUGAGAGCUUACGUCAAUUUAUAUGUAAACGGAAAUCAACUGAGUGCAGCUGAAUGGUAUUGGUUUACUAGCUCUGUUCUGGAAAUUUGAUCAGUGCUGUUUAAAUGGUUACAUAGUUACACGAGAAAGAGCCAAGAACGCUUUCUGUUUCGACUGAGUAUAUAAAUGAAAAUAUCUUUAAGUCUGAGUGCAAUUGAAGAUAUCGCCUUAAGGUAGUUCUGCACGUUUGAUAAACCGGAAGUGAUGGCGUAACGUCAUUUAUCCGGAAAACGUAUAAUAAAGCCUGGAUUCGGCGUACGGAAAUGAAAAUCAGUUUAUGAAUUAAAGGCAACAUGUGAAAAAAUUGAAAAAUAAAUUGUAACAGUCUCUAUCUUUCUAAAGUUAUGAUAUGAUAUUAAAACAUUUGAAACGUUUAAUAAAUCAAAAUAAUGUCUUAAAAUUAGCUUCAAAUAGGCGGCUCAUUUUAAUCAUGGCCAAAUAUCUCAGAAGUAAGCACACGGACCUAUACAUUUUAUUUCACUAUAUUAUAGGCCAUAUGUUUAUUUAAGACUGUGGGAAGUUUCAUUAAAAUCUACAUUGUGGAAAAUUUUCUAUUCGCGAAGAUGUUACGAAAGUUGCUAUUUUCCCAUAGACUCCCGUUAUGAAAAAAUGCAUGAGGUCCAAAUUUUUCAAAUCAGUCUAGCAAAAAAAUCAAGCACACGACCCUAUCCUUUUUAUUUGCUGAAUUUUCUAGGUAUAUUCUGAAGUUUUGAAAAAUCAGAGUUUAAUCAAAUUCUACAUUGUAGAAAAAGUUUCGAUCCAAACGUGCAGAACUACCUUAAAUGAACAUUUAAACGCACUGACUCACGUUAAAAUGACGUCGAAAAUUACGUCACACUAGUUACAAAAUUUGCAUGUCAAUAUGAAAUUAAAUAGUCUGUUGCAAGUUGUUGAUACAGAUAGAGUAUCCAGUUGGAUGAUAAUUGUUUUGAGUAAUGAGGCGUUGGUCAAGCAAAACAAAAAGCUGUCUGUUUAGCAUUUUUGUGGUACCUUAUUUAAACAAAAUACGAAGUCCUAGUUUAGCUUCAUCAUCUUUAAUCAUGAACGUUGAGCGACUAUCAAGGUAUUUGUUAGUGUUCGUUCAAGAGGGUGUAUGGGGCAGGUUUUAGGAGAGGGAAUGGAGCCAUGCAUGCCUUCCGGGCAACUUAAGACUGCCUAGUACAACCAGAUAGUAAGUUAAAAGAGGUACAACUCCCAUAAUCCUAAGCUGCAAUAUAUACAUGUAUACAAUAGUAUGCAGAAUCGUUUAAACAGGAUGAAGGCAGGUGUGUGCAGUUAUGAGUUAAACAUCGAUACAGUCAACGCCGACCUUAAUUCAGACAAUGAUUCAAAGCUGAUGAUUACUUGAGAUGGCAACGUGUACCAUUCCAGUUGACAACAGUCCUAGGUUGUAACUAUCAUCGUAGGUAAAAACAACGUGACUCUGUUGUCUUCAGUGUCUGUUAUAGGUAAAUGAUUACGUACCAAGAGAUUUAUAAUACAAAUAAUGUGCAAUUUCUUUAAUUUUUAAAGCACUGCAAUUACACCAUUUCCAGAUAACAUAACUAUGCUGAUGAAAGUUAUCUUAUUUUGGACGAAAUCAGUGUGUAUUUAUAAGCAAUGACUGGCAAUGAAAAUGCAUUAAUUUUGAAAGAUAUUUCAAAAGCUGAAUGUUUUGCAGAAAAGUAUUUUUUACACUGAUUUAUAGUAAGAAUUCCUAAUAUAUCACGUUUUUCCCAGUAUUUUACAAAAUGAUUUGGAGCAAUCGCAGCCACGAUCGGUGCUUUGUGCGCUUUGAUGUAGAGUAGGCCAGAACAGUGUUUAAUCUAAAAUAUCGUAAUUUGAAAUAUCGUAAUCAUAACUGACCGACUGACAAAAAUUAAGAUACCUAGUUAACGUUAAAGUAUCUAAGUGGAAAGCCAGAUAAUGACUAAAUAUGUGACAUUUGUAUGACAAAAUUCGAAAUAAAUAAAUGGAUAAUAUGAAUGGCAGAAACAUGCCACUAUAAUAAAGGAAAAUAUUUGCUGAUAUAUCAUCUGAGGAUAAUUACAUAGACAAUACCCUAUAUAAAUUGUGCCCUUUGUAACAUCAUUAUCAAACCAUUUCGGAACGCACAUAAAACUAACAAGCAUGUUUUUAAAGGGCAAACCCGUUAUUUUAACUGGGAACAUUACGCCACUUUUGAUGGAAUUAUACGCAAGUGUAUCAUUGAAAUUCCAAGUGCACCGUCGUAUGAACAUAUCUGCGGAUGUCUCUUAAUUGUUUUUUGUAUUUGUAGCAUGUGUAAAUGUUGAGUUCUGCUCAACCUGUGGCUAGAGGGCGUGGACGGUAGCAUGCAUUUCCUCUACCGUCCAUGAACAGGCUCAAUCAAACCAAGCUUGAAAUAUUUUUUAUUGUUGUCGUGUUGAACGACCUGUGUAGUCUCAACAUUUUCUAGAGGACUCCGUAGCAGAGUGGUUAAGGUCGCUGACUUGAAAUCACUUGCCCCUCAUCGAUGUGGGUGUAGAAUUCUUUACGUCAGGAAGCCAUCCAGCUGACUUACGUAAGGUCGUUGGUUCUACCCAGGAGCCCGCUCGUGAUGAAAUAAUGCACGAUUGGGCAUCUGGGGUCUUCCUCCACCAUCAAAGCUGGAAAGUCGCUAUAAUUGUGUCGGUGCGACGUUAAACCCAACAAAAUAAAAUAAAUAAAUCAACAUUUUCUAUUUCUAUCAGACUAUUAAAAGUAAAAACAUAUAGAUCACAGAUAAUUAAAAUAUGAAUUAUACCAUGGUCUGACAAUUAAAAUGAUAGAUGUCAAAUAGAAGCUAUAUCGGGUGCACUUUAUUGUAAAGUUACUUUACUAAGAGCGGGUCAGAUUAUAGUUUGUAAUUUUUAAUCAGAAAAUCGUGCGCAUAUGUUGCUUAAUUGUCAUAUACAUAGGUCGAUUAUAUGAGGAUGACUUUUACGGUUAAAAGUUUUUAUUAAGGACCACUUUUUAUUUCACGAAAGCAGUCAGAUAUUAUUUUCCAAAUUAUUUCACGUUGAAAAAGAAGCAAUAGUUUGUGGCAAUUACAGUCUGCCGUGCAGGGUCAAUUAACCCUUAACAGAGUUCAAAAAUAUCGUUUCGUUAAACUUUUUUCACGUUUCCUUCACAAUCUAACGUAACUAUUUGGUGUUUCCUUUUGAAACACUCAGAUGCAUACUAAAAAAACAUCGGACAAAAUAAACUUAUUUUGAUUACAAAAGAAAACAUUUUAAAUAAACAAGACUCUUAAGUUUCCAGGAAUAUGUGAGGCGUUGUAUUCUCUGUUUAGAAACAGUGGUUAAAUUGGUUACUUCUAACAGCUGAAAUAGAAUUUUCGAAUAAAUGUUACCCUCGGGAUGAGUGUACUUCAAUGAAACUAUAUAUAGUGACCGUUCCAUUUCCUAAUUAUCCUAAUAUGAGCUAUUUCAAAUAAUAUGACUGGUUUAGCCAACACGUUCAUACAUCGAUGAACAACUUUCAUCAUUUUUGUAUGCGUAAAUGCUGAAACCGGUAUCAAUAAUAGCCGAUAAAUGGAGAUCACUUAGUCUCUAUGAAGUUAGCAGAAUAACAGAAUAACUCUAGCGGAAUAGCACAAUAACUCCUGCAGAAUUACUCGAGCAGAAUAACAGAAUAGCAGAAAAGCUACCGUUUUGUACGCCGUUGCUCACUUUUGUGCGUAAACGGUUUGGAACUGGGCUUUGAAUUAAGACUUUUCUGACAGAGUAUUCAUUUGCCCAAAUGAAGGCCAAUCAUUGAUAAAGAAAUAUUUUCUUGAAAA